AUUGAACGCUGGCGGCAUGCUUUACACAUGCAAGUCGAACGGUAAGGCCCUUCGGGGUACACGAGUGGCGAACGGGUGAGUAACACGUGGGUGAUCUGCCCUGCACUUCGGGAUAAGCCUGGGAAACUGGGUCUAAUACCGGAUAGGACCCUGGGAUGCAUGUCCUGGGGUGGAAAGCUUUUGCGGUGUGGGAUGGGCCCGCGGCCGAUCAGCUUGUUGGUGGGGUGAUGGCCUACCAAGGCGACGACGGGUAGCCGGCCUGAGAGGGUGACCGGCCACACUGGGACUGCGAUACGGCCCAGACUCCUACGGGAGGCAGCAGUGGGGAAUAUUGCACAAUGGGCGCAAGCCUGAUGCAGCGACGCCGCGUGAGGGAUGACGGCCUUCGGGUUGUAAACCUCUUUCAGCACCGACGAAGCGCAAGUGACGGUAGGUGCAGAAGAAGGACCGGCCAACUACGUGCCAGCCGCCGCAGUAAUAC
rnacentral:rRNA from 1 species